rnacentral:lncRNA from 1 species
CAGGCUGCAACGCCGGCGGCGGCGUCGGCCGGAAAGGCCCCGACGGCGGCCCAUCCAACCGUCAGGAUUGAUCACCCCCACCGAUAGAUGCAUCUAGCCCAAUCUUGAUCAUGUAGUCGCAAUAAUCUCGAUUUUGUAGUUGCAUAUUGCAAAGCCUCUCCAUUUCCAGCACAAAAAACUUUGCUACUGUUGGUUAAUCAAAAUACCGUUCUGUUAAUCAAUCUGUAGUUCAUAUCAACUAAAUUAGCCAGCAUAAUCUCAUCUAAUUACAGUACUUAUCAAGGGCUAAUUACUGUUAAUUAAUUUCUCGUGUAAUUAAUUAGUUAGGAC